GACGGACGCUGGCGGCGUGCUUAACACAUGCAAGUCGAACGGAAAGGCCCCAGCUUGCUGGGGUACUCGAGUGGCGAACGGGUGAGUAACACGUGGGUGAUCUGCCCUGCACUCUGGGAUAAGCCUGGGAAACUGGGUCUAAUACCGGAUAGGACCGUGCUUUAGUGUGUGCGGUGGAAAGUUUUUCGGUGCAGGAUGAGCCCGCGGCCUAUCAGCUUGUUGGUGGGGUAAUGGCCUACCAAGGCGGCGACGGGUAGCCGGCCUGAGAGGGUGUACGGCCACAUUGGGACUGAGACACGGCCCAGACUCCUACGGGAGGCAGCAGUGGGGAAUAUUGCACAAUGGGCGCAAGCCUGAUGCAGCGACGCCGCGUGGGGGAUGACGGCCUUCGGGUUGUAAACCCCUUUCGGCAGGGACGAAGCUUUUGUGACGGUACCUGCAUAAGAAGCACCGGCUAACUACGU
rnacentral:rRNA from 1 species